CGUCCUACGGGGGGCAGCAGUGAGGAAUAUUGGUCAAUGGGCGGAAGCCUGAACCAGCCAAGUCGCGUGAGGGAAUAAGGCCCUACGGGUCGUAAACCUCUUUUGCCGGGGAGCAAGGGCCGGGACGCGUCCCGGCCCGGAGAGUACCCGGAGAAAAAGCAUCGGCUAACUCCGUGCCAGCAGCCGCGGUAAUACGGAGGAUGCGAGCGUUAUCCGGAUUUAUUGGGUUUAAAGGGUGCGCAGGCGGAGGCACAAGUCAGCGGUAAAAUCGCGGGGCUCAACCCCGCUCCGCCGUUGAAACUGAG
rnacentral:rRNA from 1 species